GGGUGGGGGUGGCUGUACCCUCUGAGUUUAGAUGCCAAAAAGACCUUCUUUUAUCUGUGGCGCCCCAGCAGGGCGUCUUCCAUUUUAAUCUCAGUCCACCAGGCCGCUGGAAACAGUCCAGUCCAGCCCAUGUUUAUAUCCUCACGUUUGGACUACUUAGCCAGGAUAGCAAGUCAUAUUCCACCUCUGUCUGUGGGCCUCUCUGCUUUUCCCAUCUGAAUAAAGUGAAAAUAAAAUCUUACAGAGGGAAAAUCUUACUGCUGUCCUUGGAAAAAACGAAAAAAAAAUGGAAAGUCAUAACCCCAUUAAAGAGCGGAAAGUCAUAACCCCAUUAUUUCUCAGUCUGAAACACGGGGGUUAUUGGAGGUCAGUAUCCCAAGGGCCCCUCUGGCAACCCAACAGGCCCUUUUCCCAACAUACAGCUCCAUUAGAUCUCCAUUUGGGUCAGCCUGGCUCCCGCUCCACAGCCCAAAAGAUACCAUUUCUGUGAGGUGGUGAUCCACUCCUCAUCCGUACCCUUGGAGAGGUGGAGUUCUGAAGGGUAUGGGGUAUUUUGGGUAAAAGGGUGUGAAAGUAGGGGUGGGUGGGGUUGGCAGGUUCCCGUCCCAGAUGGGAUGCUCGCCUUGUACCCGACCCAAAAUAACAACUUUUACUACCUUAGCAAAAAUAUCCAGCAGCAAAAACAGACAAUUAUGCUAAUGAAAGUCACCUUGGAUAAGUCCUCCUCUUCAGGUAACAUCACCUUAACAGCACCGUAAGACCUUCUUGCCUUUCUGUGGGGAAAAGCAAUCCCUUUCCCCCCACAGUCCCAUUCCAGGCUCCUCCAGGGAACCAACCUCUCUGUUCCUACACCUCUCAUUCACAGCCAAAGGUCCCCAAUUACUCUAUUCCAGCCAUCUUAUAUUAUUCACGGUUAUACACACGGUCUAACAAACAUGCUGAAAUAAAAAUCCAGAGAGCUUUUCUCUCGUCAAGCUAAACAGACCGGUUUGGGUGGGAGCUGUAGGCUUUUUGCAUAUGCAAAAGGUAAGUUAUACUACCAGGAAUGGCAGGAGCAGUGUUCUCAUGCCCACACAACUCCUGCUCUGAAAGUGAACCUGGUGCCCAUAAAUCAUCCGGCUGGGAUUACCCCAUAGCAGCUAGACUCGGACGCCAAAGCUGAAGGGACGGUAGAGAAACAGGAAACUGCAGGUUUCCUGUAGCAUACCAGGUGACGUAGCUAGAGAGCCGUGAAGCACAUUGAGAGCUUGCGCUCAAACUCUGACUAGCUGAUUGUGUUUGUAGCGGAAAGGAUUAAAUCAAAUUAUCAAACAUGCACUCAUUGUGAUUGUGUGACUGAUCGAUUCGUCCAUAACUCUCAACAGGUGUAGCGGCACCAAUCGUUCAAGACCUGGGGAAUACUGUAUGUUGCAGGGAGCGUUUAUGUAAAUGGGAGACAGAAGAAGAUUGGCUGCUUUGAUUGAAAUCCAGAAGUGUCAGAUCGGGAGCCAAAUGUAACUUGCUUGUUUUGUCUUUUGAUAUUUUUCCACAGAGAAAAUGAGGCAAAAUCAGUUUGACAUGUUUUACAGAUUUAGUAUUUUACCAGCUUAACUGGGACAUGUUAGACAACAAAAGUGACCAAGCAGCUUUAAAUUAUAUUUUGAUGUUGUACGGCAUUUUGUCUCAUAAUAAACUCAUAUUGGACCGAGGAUUUGGAGCACAGGCCCAGGCCCAGGCCCACAUGCCAACCAACACAUUCAGUUUCCCACGACACCUGCAGGCCAGGAACGGGUAAAACUGGUGCACCCUGGAUCCCCCAGGGUUCUCAGAGCCAUCGAUCGCACGCACGGAAAUGUUGGGUGAGGUGAGGUUAUCGGGGCUGAAAUGAUGGGAGAGUCUGUCUGACACAGAGGUGAGGUUAUGGGGGCUGAAAUGAUGGGAGGUGUUCAGGUCUCUCACACAGAGGUGAGGUUAUGGGGGCUGAAAUGAUGGGAGGUGUUCAGGUCUCUCACACAGAGGUGAGGUUAUGGGGGCUGAAAUGUUGGGAGGUGUUCAGGUCUCACACAGAGGUCAGGUUAUGGGCUGAAAUGUUGGGAGGUGCUCAGGUCUCUCACACAGAGGUGAGGUUAUUGUGGCUGAAAUGUUGGGAGAGUCUGUCUGACACAGAGGUGAGGUUAUGGGGGCUGAAAUGAUGGGAGGUGUUCAGGUCUCUCACACAGAGGUCAGGUUAUGGGGCUGAAAUGUUGGGAGGGGUUCCUCUGUCUGGCUCCUCUCUCCCCCCUGCAGAACCGGGUCUCAUUAAGGCCUCCCGUUUCCAUGGUGAGCGCGUUUCCAUGGCGAGCCCGUGGACAUGCGCAAGCUUUCCCAGGGGUCUUUCACCUUGACUCGGUAUCAGGCCGGGGCCUGCGGUCGCUGUGUUUGAGCUGUUUAAUUCAGCAGCGCUCUCACUCUGAAAGGGCUUCAACUCUCAGUUCAUUUAGCAAGACAAUCUGCAUUAGUAUUUUUUAGGUCAGUUUGCUGACAUUUUGUCGUUUGUAAUUGUGUGGUUGCCGAGCUGGAGUUGGUCUCUGUCCCAGACGGGCUCCCUCUGAGCUGUGAGCUUUCCCUGAGCUGCUCUAUGCAGAGCUGGACUGUGUGGGGUUCUGUUAUAUGGGUCUGUAGUUUGGCCGUAUUUUCAUGCGUGGCAGUUGGACAGAUAGGCUAAGGCUGCAGCUGUCUCACUCCACAGUGCUGAGAAAACUCCUCAUUCACAGCGUGACUGGCCGUAGAUGCAGUUUUGAUGCUGCACAUGAAUUUUAAAAAAUAAAUUUGAUCCAUUAUGUUCAUACAGAUGUUUCUUCCUAAUUUAAUUGAAUCCCUAUUUGAAAAUAAAUAAAGCAAGUAAAUAUUUUUACUAUA